UUUCAUCGUAUCAAAUCUCGAGUUAUAUAUAGGUAAAGUUCUAGAUGUUGCUUUGCGCAUCGCAAUGAUUGUGUAUGCAAUGUCUUUCGCCGUUCGCAUCACAGACUCUUCAAGACUCUCGUGUCACGGUUGCGUGAGGUUCAGCGUAGCAAUAUAUUGUACUAUACAAUACUACUAACACGCCGAAGUUAAGCACGUCGAGAGCUGUCGAGAGCGUGCAAUUGGUGUCUGCUGACAGUGCUGACUGCUUAGUGCUUGUGUUUGUGUUUCGCCGUCGCGCCGUUUGCGCCGUUCGCAGAUCGGAGUACGUGUAUGUAUGUUCAUAUGUACACACGUCGCGCGUCGCUCCUUUCCACGAAGCGUGUGCGAUAUAAAAACGAACCAUGCAUGGCCGUAGUGAUGCACUAUCGGAAUAGCAAUCAACUGCGCAAUGGGCGAUAGGUGUGGCAUGUGAAAAAGGAAAGGAAAGCUCGUCAGCGAGUUGUCGCGAGUGAUCAGAGAGAACGAGAGAGAGAGAGAGAGA